UAAAAUCUAAAGGUUAAUUUAUAAAAAAAAAAAAAAAAAAAGGAGAGUUAAAAUUGGUUAAAGGAAUCAGUAAUGGCAAAGUUCUUGGCUCAGGCUUGUAGCAGUGAUGGGAUAAACUGCUGGUUUAAGUCAAGUCUCUGCAGUUCAUCCAAAGCUUGGAUGGGUCAUU